rnacentral:rRNA from 1 species
UCCCAGACUCCUACGGGAGGCAGCAGUGGGGGAUAUUGCACAAUGGGGGGAACCCUGAUGCAGCGACGCCGCGUGGGUGAAGGAGUGCUUCGGCAUGUAAAGCUCUAUCAGCAGGGAAGAAAAUGACGGUACCUGACUAAGAAGCCCCGGCUAACUACGUGCCAGCAGCCGCGGUAAUACGUAGGGGGCAAGCGUUAUCCGGAUUUACUGGGUGUAAAGGGAGCGUAGACGGUAGAGCAAGUCUGAAGUGAAAGCCCGCGGCUCAACUGCGGGACUGCUUUGGAAACUGUUCAACUGGAGUGCUGGAGAGGUAAGCGGAAUUCCUAGUGUAGCGGUGAAAUGCGUAGAUAUUAGGAGGAACACCAGUGGCGAAGGCGGCUUACUGGACAGUAACUGACGUUGAGGCUCGAAAGCGUGGGGAGCAAACAGGAUUAGAUACCCCUGUA